rnacentral:lncRNA from 1 species
UUUAAUUGCUGUGGAUAACCAUCGAUCAUUGCUGGGCUGCCCCUGGGACGGUGGACUUUGAGAGAGGAGAAAACAAGCCCAGGCAGAGCAUCCUGCCCCUGGUCAUUGAUGGUAGAGGUGGUUCAGAGGAACACAUGCUGGUCCAAGAAACAAGUAAUUAGUUGUCAUACAAAUCCCAACAGAAGAACAUGAUGAACAAUUUGGGAGCAUAAGUUCCACUGUUAGUACAAAAGACAAAAGAAUGCACAGAAGAAACAAAAACCUGCAUGUGUUUGGAAAUACCAUUGAAAUGCUGAGAACAUCACUUCUAGGCACCUGUAGAAUUGUGGUUCUUGCUUUCCCUGUUGUUGGGUGGAGCCGUGCAACUGGUUCUCUCCAUUGAGUUGGGAGUGAAAGUGACAUAUAGCUUGUCACCUGGGCCCACGACUGAGCACUGUGGGUCAGGAUACUUGUUCCUCCCAUUGAUUUUUCACUGAGUUGGAAGUGACAUGGAGCCCCUCAACCUGAGUUUCUGAGGAGGACCAUGGAGACAUGGAGUAAAAGUCUCAGCUGACGCUUGUUGGAUCUGUAGGGUAAAAAGA